rnacentral:rRNA from 1 species
AUGGUGUGCUGUGGAGGGGCUGGACGAUACAGAUUAAAUUCGACGGUUCCAUGCGGCGAUGCUGCUGCAACGACGUGCCCGGAUCCAUCCGCUCGCUUGUACUGGGACGGCGUCCAUCUGACGGAGGCAGCUAACCGCCACAUCGCCAAUAUCUGGCUGGGCAGCAUAACCUCGGCAACAAGAGUCAGCAGCAGCAAGUGUGCAAAGUGGCCAUGUCGACCCACCGGGUGA